CUUAUAUCCGAUUAGAGGAAGUGCACGGUCCUAUGCGGCCCUCUGGUAGCUAUGAAGAAAAAUUGUGGCCCUCUCCAUCAUUAAAGUUGCCCAUCCUUGGUGUAAAGAGUUGGGCCUCUAUAUACAGUCGAUGAUCUACGACACCCACUGGGAUCCCCAGAGAUGAAUGCGAAUUUCUUGCUAUGGUUCAAGAGCUUCUCUAGCCACUCCACGCAAACGAAUAAUGUAUGUUUUGAAGAAAGAAGAAGAAACACUACAAAGGACAAAAUGGAAUGUCAAUCCUACAAAUGACCUCUAGAGGACGCUCUUGCAAUAGUAUUGAGGUAUUCAAGUGUUGCAUCUUACUGGAACAGAAUUUGUAAUUAAAAAUUGCUGCUAAAUGAUAA